UUUUUUUACAAACUGAUAGAUGAAACUGCAUGGAUGAGCUCGAGGCACCUUGACAUGGCCAUGUUUCUAAUACGCAAAAGACAACUCUCUCAUCCUCAACUAUUUGGAAGGGAGUGGACAACCGCCGAGUUUUGUCUGCAGCAAUUUUUACAG